rnacentral:tRNA from 1 species
GCCUCAGUAAUAUAAUGGACCAGCAUGGCAGAUCGGAUAUCUGUAAGUGCUGGUUCGAGUCCCGCUUGUGGUC